UUACUGUAAGAAUAAGCACCGGCUAAUUCCGUGCCAGCAGCCGCGGUAAUACGGAAGGUGCAAGCGUUAUCCGGUUUUAUUGGGUUUAAAGGGUGCGUAGGCGGCUUAUUAAGUCAGUUGUGAAAUCCUAGUGCUUAACGCUAGAACUGCAAUUGAUACUAUUAGGCUUGAGUUAAGAAUAGGUAAGUAGAAUUUAUGGUGUAGUAGUGAAAUGCUUAGAUAUCAUAAGGAAUACCAAUAGCGUAGGCAGCUUACUGGUCUUUAACUGACGCUGAGGCACGAAAGCGUGGGGAGCAAACAGGAUUAGAUACCCUGGUAGUCCACGCCGUAAACGAUGAUCACUCGGUAUACAUAAAUUUAUGUGUGUCUAAGCGAAAGCGUUAGUUGAUCCACA
rnacentral:rRNA from 1 species